GCGGAGGAAAAGAAACCAACAGGGAUUGCCCUAGUAACGGCGAGUGAAGCGGCAACAGCUCAAAUUUGAAAUCUGGCCUCGGCCCGAGUUGUAAUUUGCAGAGGAUGCUUCUGGCGCGGUGCCUUCCGAGUUCCCUGGAACGGGACGCCACAGAGGGUGAGAGCCCCGUAUGGUCGGACACCAAGCCUGUGUGAAGCUCCUUCGACGAGUCGAGUAGUUUGGGAAUGCUGCUCUAAAUGGGAGGUAAAUCUCUUCUAAAGCUAAAUACCGGCCAGAGACCGAUAGCGCACAAGUAGAGUGAUCGAAAGAUGAAAAGCACCUUGAAAAGGGGGUUAAAUAGUACGUGAAAUUGUUGAAAGGGAAGCACUUGUGACCAGACUUGGGCCGGGCGGCUCAUCAGGGGUUCUCCCCUGUGCACUCCGCCCGGCACAGGCCAGCAUCGGUUCUCGUGGGGGGAUAAGACCGUCAGGAACGUAGCACCCUCCGGGGUGUGUUAUAGCCUGGCGGACGAUACCCCCGUGGGGACCGAGGUUCGCGCUCCGCAAGGAUGCUGGCGUAAUGGUCACCAGUGACCCGUCUUGAAACACGGACCAAGGAGUCGUCCAUUAGAGCGAGCGUUUGGGUGUAAAACCCGCACGCGUAAUGAAAGUGAACGCAGGUGAGAGCUUCGGCGCAUCAUCGACCGAUCCUGAUGUUCUCGGAAGGAUUUGAGUAAGAGUUUUAACGGACGGACCCGAAAGACAGUGAACUAUGCUUGUAUAGGGUGAAGCCAGAGGAAACUCUGGUGGAGGCUCGCAGCGGUUCUGACGUGCAAAUCGAUCGUCAAAUAUGAGCAUGGGGGCGAAAGACUAAUCGAACUGUCUAGUAGCUGG
rnacentral:sRNA from 1 species